rnacentral:rRNA from 1 species
AUUGAACGCUGGCGGCAUGCCUAACACAUGCAAGUCGAGCGGACGAACGGAGUUCGUUCUUGUCUUCCGUGGCGGACGGGUGAGUAAUGAAUAGGAAUCUGCCCGGUAGCGGGGGAUAACUUCCCGAAAGGGUAGCUAAUACCGCAUACGUCCUGAGGUGGAAAGGCGGGGAUCUUUAGACCUUGACCUAUUUGCUGUGCCUAGUUCGGAUUAGCUAGUUGGUUGGGUAAAGGCCUACCAAGGCGACUAUCCGUAGCUGGUCUGAGAGGAGGACCAGUCACACUGGGACUGAGACACGGUCCAGACUCCUACGGGAGGCAGCAGUGGGGAAUUUUGGACAAUGGGGGGAAGCCUGAUCCAGCCAUCCCGCGUGUGGGAAGAAGGGCUUCGGGUUGUAAAGCACUUUUAGUAGGGAAGAAGAGCAGUGAGAUAAUACCUUGCGGUUUUGACGGUACCUACAGAAUAAGCACCGGCUAACUACGUG